GGUACUGCCCUGGUGGAUUAUGCCUUUCAAGGUCAAUUGGUGACCCAAAUGUGGGAGAGUUCAUCGUCCCAAUACCACAUGUCAAACAAGUAGAGCUUUCAACUGCUGGAGGAAGGCUUAUUGGCAUCUGGGAUACUCUAUCCUCUGAUGUGGCUGCCAACCAAGUCUUGUCGGGGUUUACCUGCUGAGCUUGCUGCAAAGCUGGUAGUUAAGGAGGCUCUAAGAUCAAGGGGCCU